rnacentral:lncRNA from 1 species
GAUGGGAGCCUGUUUAGUGUUAACUGUCAUUAACAUUUUUGGUGACUGCUUGGGAAGCCCAAAACAAACAGGAUGUGCAAUAGAACCUAUCUAAAAAUGAAACUCAGAAUUCUUUCAGAUGUUUUUCAGUAAGUCAACUUUAUUUUCAUAUAUUAUUGUAUUAGUGAUUAUUAGUAGAUUAUACAGUAAAACACAAGGACUUAAUGAGUUCAGUGAUUCAGAGACAGCAGGUUGCAAAUUGUCCAGACCUCUGCAUCUGCUUUGAUGUGAUAAUUGAGCUUUGACAUAAGAAUGUAAAAUAUAACUAUUAAUCCACUAGUGGAAAAGUCACUUACAACUGAGUUCUUAGCUUGCUUCAUCCUUGUCAGACUUCAGAGUAACUGUCACUGAAAUAUUCGUUUUUCUUCUUUGGAAUUGAAGACAAAGAGUGUAAAAUAUGAAUGCUAUACUAACAUUAUUGCUACAUGUUCUUACAGAUGAAAAUGAUAAUAUUGAGAUAGAUACUAACGAAGAGAUUCCUGAAGGCUUUGUUGUAGGAGGUGGAGAUGAACUUACUAAUAUAGAAAGUGACCUUGAUAAUCCCGGUAAUUUCAAAUUGUCAAUGUUUUGUGUCCUAUUGCAUGGCAAACUUUAUUUUUACAUCAUCAAUAAUAAUUUAUUUUUAUACUCUUUUUAUGUCUUAUGCCCUUGCUGAUGAUUUAGUCAACUCCACCUUCCAUAAAUGUUCAUGUUAUUUUGUUUUCAUUUGAAUGUUCAAAUAGCUUAACAUUUGCAUAAUAAAUUAUGAUGUAAGUUCUUUUAUUACUAGUAAGCACUCUACUUUCAGUUUAUAGGCACUCCAUGAGUGGCCUCCUCACUGCUUCCGUGUUCUGAUGUGCUAGUGUAUACUACAUGUGAAAUAACUAUGGAGUAAUUCAGAUCAAAUCUAAAUCCAUAGGUCAGACUCACUUAUUUAGAAUUACUAAUGGCAGUACUGGGUAUAUUGGUGUAUAAGGCAGAGAUAGGAGUGUAAUUACUAAGUUCCAGGCCGGCCUGGGCUGUAUAGUAAUUUUGAGGCCAACCUGGGCUAUCCUGUGAGAUCUUUCUCUAGUCUUACUGGGUUAUUUUGCAGUUUUCUUGCUUGCAUUUGAUAUUAUUACUGUUUUACAUAUGCUGAACAAUUGGUUAGAGUAGGGCACUCUGAAAAUUUCUUGUAUAGACUACAAUUAGAUGAAUGCCACAUCUUCUGUCAUGUCAGUCUGUCACACUGCAACUCAUCUUUUAAAAUAUAAGGAUGCUUUUGGUGUGCAUUCUGUGUGCCUCGCCUCCAUAAGUAGCAGCAGGUAGCAAUCCAGAGUUUCAUAUACCCGAGUACUCCAGAAAUGGCUCUCGAGGUGAAUUCUCACGGCAGUAAAAACUCUGGAUAAGGAGUAACAUGAGUCACAUGAGUGUCCUUCCCUGAUGGUGAUCCUCCCUACAGUCUGACCUGCUUUGACUCCCCCACCUCCAGCUGCUACUUCUCCUGAAAACAACUGUCCAGGGUCCUCUUAACCACAGCAACAGCUGAGAAAACUCAUGGCCUUUUGUCAACACCUCCCUCCGGACUCAGUAUUAAGAUAAACUGAUCAAGGAAAUCCUAAUAUUUAGGGAAAGCAUUUUAAGUGUUUAGCUCAAAACUAAAACCACCUUUUAGUUUGUUUUUAAUAAACUUUUAUUUUUAUUUUUUAUUUUUUUAUGUUUACAGGUGCUCUUCUUGCAGGUAUGUCUGUGCACCAAGUAUGUGCUUUUAGAGGCCAGAAGGAGGCAUCAGAUCCCCUGGAAUUGCAAUUACAGCCAGUUUUGUGCCUCCCUGUGGGUGCUUGGAAUCGAACCUGGGCUUUCAGAAGAGCAACUAGUGUUCUUAACUGCUGAGCCAUCUUUCUCCAGCUUCUAGUUCUUUCUUAAAGACAGUAGAAUUUAUCUUCAGUUUCUCUUUAUGAAAAUAUUUGUAUUGCUGUCUGCCUGUCCUCCCUUUAUGGUUACCACAAAUUCUUCCUUAUCAAGGGGAACAGAGGGAAAAGAAUUCUUAACAUCUUUUUACUGUUGAGGACUCUAAGAUAGACUUCUGAUUAUGGGAUUAUAAAAUCAGUAAAAUAAUCAAUGUGUAUUUCCUUACUUAAAAUAGAUUAAAACGAUAGGAAAAUUAGCCAUUUUGGGGGAUAACGUGGAGAAAUUAGCUGUUACAACUUUUGUAGGAUAUUUGUUUUUUAAAACUAAUUUUAAUCCUGGCUAGCUUGACUUUUGUACUUGAGGGAAAAAAAUAAAUUCUCUCAGAGAUGGGGAGGUGGUCUAUUCGGGAACAUGCUUGCAAUGCAAACAUGAGUCUCUUAAGUUCAGAUCUUUAACACCCAGGUAAAAAAAGCCCCUUUCUGUAAUCCCAGCCCUGAGGUCAGGAGACAGGCAGGUCACCGGGGUUUGCCUGCCAGCCAGGCUAGCCCAGAAAGUGAGUGCCAGGUUUACUGACUGAGAGAGCCAGUCUC